GGGGAUUUAGCUCAGUGGUAGAGCGCUUGCCUAGGAAGCUCAAGGCCCUGGAUUCAGUCCCCA
rfam:Rattus norvegicus chromosome 15, whole genome shotgun sequence.